rnacentral:rRNA from 1 species
AACGAACGCUGGCGGCAUGCCUAACACAUGCAAGUCGAACGAGACCUUCGGGUCUAGUGGCGCACGGGUGCGUAACGCGUGGGAAUCUGCCCUUGGGUUCGGAAUAACAGUUAGAAAUGACUGCUAAUACCGGAUAAUGUCUUCGGACCAAAGAUUUAUCGCCCAGGGAUGAGCCCGCGUAGGAUUAGCUAGUUGGUGAGGUAAAGGCUCACCAAGGCGACGAUCCUUAGCUGGUCUGAGAGGAUGGUCAGCCACACUGGGACUGAGACACGGCCCAGACUCCUACGGGAGGCAGCAGUGGGGAAUAUUGGACAAUGGGCGAAAGCCUGAUCCAGCAAUGCCGCGUGAGUGAUGAAGGCCUUAGGGUUGUAAGCUCUUUACCCGGGAUGAUAAUGACAGUACCGGGAGAAGUAAGCCCCCGGCUAACUCCGUGCCAGCAGCCGCGGUAA